UCCGCCAAAAGCCCUAACAACCUUCAAGUCAGUUUGCUUGUUUUUGUCAUUUCUGAAUUCUUUUUUCAUUUUCUUCUUCUUUUUCUCAUUUAUCCAUUUAAUAUGAAAUUUUGUAUGAAUAUACGUAACUCUAAGAGGAUGUUUCCUCAACAAUUGUCUAUAAAAGGAAUGAAGAUGAAGAUAUAACAAAAUAUGAUUCUAAUUAUUUAAAUACCGGUUAAAUAGGGAAAAUGAGGAAGAAAUUUACAAUGUGGGGAAUCGAACUCUCGUCAAUAAUUUUUAAGUUAUCCAGUUACUAUGAAUUUGGAAUGAAUAUACAUAAACCUGAGAGGAAUUUUCCUCAACAAUUUUCCAGAAAAGGAAUGAAGAUGAAGAUAACACAAAUAUGAUUCAAAUUAUUUAUAUACUAGUUAAAUGGGGCAAGUCUAUUCAUUUGCUCAUUCAAUGUUGAAUGAUUUUAUUUUUCUUUGUAUGAUUUAUUUUAACAAUAUUUUUUAAUUGUUACUGAAAAGGAAAAUAAGGAAGGAGAUUACAAUUUGGGGAAUCAAA